UACGAAGGGGGCGAGCGUUGUUCGGAAUUACUGGGCGUAAAGCGCACGUAGGCGGCUUUGUAAGUUAGAGGUGAAAGCCCGGGGCUCAACCCCGGAAUUGCCUUUAAGACUGCAUCGCUAGAAUCCAGGAGAGGUGAGUGGAAUUCCGAGUGUAGAGGUGAAAAUUCGUAGAUAUUCGGAAGAACACCAGUGGCGAAGGGCGGCUCACUGGACUGGUAUUGACGCUGAGGUGCGAAAGCGUGGGGAGCAAACAGG
rnacentral:rRNA from 1 species